UUGCUAAUGUGUAGCUUUAAAAAUAAAUGUGAUCGCUUCUCGGCCUUUUGGCUAAGAUCAAGUGUAAAAAUAAAUGUGUAGUAGAGUAAUACAUCACUGGAUG
rnacentral:miRNA from 14 species